rnacentral:rRNA from 1 species
CGUGUGCUUACAAGUAGUCAGAGCCCGUUAAUGGGUGAUGGCGUGCCUUUUGUAGAAUGAACCGGCGAGUUACGAUUUGAUGCAAGGUUAAGCAGUAAAUGUGGAGCCGUAGCGAAAGCGAGUCUGAAUAGGGCGUUUAGUAUUUGGUCGUAGACCCGAAACCAGGUGAUCUACCCUUGGUCAGGUUGAAGUUCAGGUAACACUGAAUGGAGGACCGAACCGACUUACGUUGAAAAGUGAGCGGAUGAACUGAGGGUAGCGGAGAAAUUCCAAUCGAACCUGGAGAUAGCUGGUUCUCUCCGAAAUAGCUUUAGGGCUAGCCUCAAGUGAUGAUUAUUGGAGGUAGAGCACUGUUUGGACGAGGGGCCCCUCUCGGGUUACCGAAUUCAGACAAACUCCGAAUGCCAAUUAAUUUAACUUGGGAGUCAGAACAUGGGUGAUAAGGUCCGUGUUCGAAAGGGAAACAGCCCAGACCACCAGCUAAGGUCCCAAAAUAUAUGUUAAGUGGAAAAGGAUGUGGCGUUGCCCAGACAACUAGGAUGUUGGCUUAGAAGCAGCCAUCAUUUAAAGAGUGCGUAAUAGCUCACUAGUCGAGUGACACUGCGCCGAAAAUGUACCGGGGCUAAACAUAUUACCGAAGCUGUGGAUUGUCCUUUGGACAAUGGUAGGAGAGCGUUCUAAGGGCGUUGAAGCAUGAUCGUAAGGACAUGUGGAGCGCUUAGAAGUGAGAAUGCCGGUGUGAGUAGCGAAAGACGGGUGAGAAUCCCGUCCACCGAUUGACUAAGGUUUCCAGAGGAAGGCUCGUCCGCUCUGGGUUAGUCGGGUCCUAAGCUGAGGCCGACAGGCGUAGGCGAUGGAUAACAGGUUGAUAUUCCUGUACCACCUAUAAUCGUUUUAAUCGAUGGGGGGACGCAGUAGGAUAGGCGAAGCGUGCGAUUGGAUUGCACGUCUAAGCAGUAAGGCUGAGUAUUAGGCAAAUCCGGUACUCGUUAAGGCUGAGCUGUGAUGGGGAGAAGACAUUGAGUCUUCGAGUCGUUGAUUUCACACUGCCGAGAAAAGCCUCUAGAUAGAAAAUAGGUGCCCGUACCGCAAACCGACACAGGUAGUCAAGAUGAGAAUUCUAAGGUGAGCGAGCGAACUCUCGUUAAGGAACUCGGCAAAAUGACCCCGUAACUUCGGGAGAAGGGGUGCUCUUUAGGGUUAACGCCCAGAAGAGCCGCAGUGAAUAGGCCCAAGCGACUGUUUAUCAAAAACACAGGUCUCUGCUAAACCGUAAGGUGAUGUAUAGGGGCUGACGCCUGCCCGGUGCUGGAAGGUUAAGAGGAGUGGUUAGCUUCUGCGAAGCUACGAAUCGAAGCCCCAGUAAACGGCGGCCGUAACUAUAACGGUCCUAAGGUAGCGAAAUUCCUUGUCGGGUAAGUUCCGACCCGCACGAAAGGCGUAACGAUUUGGGCACUGUCUCAACGAGAGACUCGGUGAAAUCAUAGUACCUGUGAAGAUGCAGGUUACCCGCGACAGGACGGAAAGACCCCGUGGAGCUUUACUG